CUUUAACGUGGAGCAAACGGGGCAGCUGCCCUAGGCCCAGUUACUCAUGGGGGGCCCAAAGCAGCUGCCCCGUGGGCCCCGCCGCCUGCAUUAAAAAAAAUAGUAAAAAAUAUUUCCCUACCUAAUGGGCCCGCGGUGCUAGCAUAUACUUAGGGCCACCCAGUGAGCAUGUUCCAGCAGGUGUCCGGUCGGCGCUGUGGCCCUUUAACAGCGCUGUGGCCCUUGCUUAACGGCUGCAUGGGAGGAAGUGACGUCCGCGAAUCACUUCCUCUCACCUCAAAGAUAUCGGGCCGCGCAGGAGGCUGCUGAGCCAGGAUCCAGUGAGGAGGGGGAGCAAGCAGAGCCAGACACCCAACUCCCAACUACCCCAGCCAGCACACUGGACCCCAGGGAAGGAAGCCUCUUGCAAAGGUAGGAAACUGAAGAGUUUCUGUCUGUGUGUCAGUCAGUAUGUCUGUCUGUGUGUCAGUAUGUCUGUCUGUGUGUCAGUAUGUAUGUGUGUCAGUCAGUAUGUAUGUCUGUCUGUGUGUCAGUAUGUCUGUCUGUGUGUCAGUAUGUAUGUCUGUGUGUCAGUAUAUAUGUCUGUGUGUCAGUCAGUAUGUAUGUCUGUCUGUGUGUCAGUAUGUCUGUCUGUGUGUCAGUAUGUAUGUGUGUCAGUCAGUAUGUAUGUCUGUCUGUGUGUCAGUAUGUAUGUGUGUCAGUCAGUAUGUAUGUCUGUCUGUGUGUCAGUAUGUAUGUGUGUCAGUCAGUAUGUCUGUCUGUGUGUCAGUAUGUCUGUGUGUCAGUAUGUAUGUCUGUGUGUCAGUAUGUAUGUGUGUCAGUCAGUAUGUAUGUCUGUGUGUGUGUCAGUAUGUCUGUCUGUAUGUCAGUCCAGGGCCGGACUGGCCCACCGG